UACAGAGGGGGCAAGCGUUAUUCGGAAUUAUUGGGCGUAAAGGGCGCGUAGGCGGUUUUUUAAGUCGGAUGUGUAAUCCCCGGGCUCAACCUGGGAACUGCAUCCGAGACUGGGAGACUAGAGUACUGGAGAGGGUGGUGGAAUUCCUCGUGUAGCGGUGAAAUGCGUAGAGAUGAGGAGGAACACCAGUGGCGAAGGCGGCCACCUGGACAGUAACUGACGCUGAGGCGCGAAAGUGUGGGUAGCAAACAGG
rnacentral:rRNA from 1 species